rnacentral:rRNA from 1 species
GGGUUGUGAGGUUAAGCGACUAAGCGUACACGGUGGAUGCCCUGGCAGUCAGAGGCGAUGAAGGACGUGCUAAUCUGCGAUAAGCGUCGGUAAGGUGAUAUGAACCGUUAUAACCGGCGAUUUCCGAAUGGGGAAACCCAGUGUGUUUCGACACACUAUCAUUAACUGAAUCCAUAGGUUAAUGAGGCGAACCGGGAGAACUGAAACAUCUAAGUACCCCGAGGAAAAGAAAUCAACCGAGAUUCCCCCAGUAGCGGCGAGCGAACGGGGAGCAGCCCAGAGCCUGAAUCAGUGUGUGUGUUAGUGGAAGCGUCUGGAAAGGCGCGCGAUACAGGGUGACAGCCCCGUACACAAAAAUGCACAUAUUGUGAGCUCGAUGAGUAGGGCGGGACACGUGGUAUCCUGUCUGAAUAUGGGGGGACCAUCCUCCAAGGCUAAAUACUCCUGACUGACCGAUAGUGAACCAGUACCGUGAGGGAAAGGCGAAAAGAACCCCGGCGAGGGGAGUGAAAAAGAACCUGAAACCGUGUACGUACAAGCAGUGGGAGCACGCUUAGGCGUGUGACUGCGUACCUUUUGUAUAAUGGGUCAGCGACUUAUAUUCUGUAGCAAGGUUAACCGAAUAGGGGAGCCGAAGGGAAACCGAGUCUUAACUGGGCGUUAAGUUGCAGGGUAUAGACCCGAAACCCGGUGAUCUAGCCAUGGGCAGGUUGAAGGUUGGGUAACACUAACUGGAGGACCGAACCGACUAAUGUUGAAAAAUUAGCGGAUG